rnacentral:rRNA from 1 species
GACGAACGCUGGCGGCGUGCUUAACACAUGCAAGUCGAACGGAAAGGCCCUGCUUUUGUGGGGUGCUCGAGUGGCGAACGGGUGAGUAACACGUGAGUAACCUGCCCUUGACUUUGGGGUAACUUCAGGACACUGGGGCUAAUACCGGAUAGGAGCUCCUGCUGCAUGGUGGGGGUUGGAAAGUUUCGGCGGUUGGGGCUGGACUCGCGGCUUAUCAGCUUGUUGGUGGGGUAGUGGCUUACCAAGGCUUUGACGGGUAGCCGGCCUGAGAGGGUGACCGGCCACAUUGGGACUGAGAUACGGCCCAGACUCCUACGGGAGGCAGCAGUGGGGAAUAUUGCACAAUGGGCGGAAGCCUGAUGCGGCAACGCCGCGUGCGGGAUGACGGCCUUCGGGUUGUAAACCGCUUUCGCCUGUGACGAAGAGUGAGUGACGGUAAUGGGUAAAGAAGCACCGGCUAACUACGUG